rnacentral:lncRNA from 1 species
CUGAAUUUGAAAUGUGAAAUCCACGUUUUCUUUCAUUUCCCCCAUUUUCCACCCCCAAUCAUCUUUCAUUCCCUCCAUCUCCCACUCUCCACUUGCCGAGCCCAAGCUCUUUCGACCCAAACACAACCCAAACGAACGGACUAACGGCCAAUUUCUUCUCCUUAUCUGAUAUGGAAGCCGACGAAAUUGAAGAAAACAGCAGGAAUGGUAUUUUUUUCUUUGACAUUUGAUCUCAGAUUUGAUCUUAUAUGAUAAAUGAGAAGCAUCUUCAAAUAUUUUAAAUUUCAUCUUCUUCCUAUAAUGCAGAGAAAUGUACCUAGAUUGAAGUAGAGUCACAAACCAUGUCUGACAACAUGGUUGGCGAGAAGCAGGCAAUUUGAAAAUUGAUGUGGGACUAAUUUGGUGUUAGAAAUGUGGGAAUUUGUGUUGUUGAAAAUGUGGGAAUUUUUGUGGUUUCAGUUUGUGAAAUCACUGUGAGAAGCAGGCAGUCUAUGUAUUCUGAAAUGUGUUGUUUAAAAUGAUUGUUUGACUAUUUAAAAUGUGG